GGGGAGGGGGGGGCCUAAUAAUGCAAGUCGAGCGAGCUUGCCUAGAUGAAUUUGGUGCUUGCACCAGAUGACCCUAGAUACAAGCGAGCGGCGGACGGGUGAGUAACACGUGGGUAACCUGCCCAAGAGACUGGGAUAACACCUGGAAACAGAUGCUAAUACCGGAUAACAACACUAGACGCAUGUCUAGAGUUUAAAAGAUGGUUCUGCUAUCACUCUUGGAUGGACCUGCGGUGCAUUAGCUAGUUGGUAAGGUAACGGCUUACCAAGGCAAUGAUGCAUAGCCGAGUUGAGAGACUGAUCGGCCACAUUGGGACUGAGACACGGCCCAAACUCCUACGGGAGGCAGCAGUAGGGAAUCUUCCACAAUGGACGCAAGUCUGAUGGAGCAACGCCGCGUGAGUGAAGAAGGGUUUCGGCUCGUAAAGCUCUGUUGGUAGUGAAGAAAGAUAGAGGUAGUAACUGGCCUUUAUUUGACGGCAAUUACUUAGAAAGUCACGGCUAACUACGUGCCAGCAGCCGCGGUAAUACGUAGGUGGCAAGCGUUGUCCGGAUUUAUUGGGUGUAAAGCGAGUGCAGGCGGUUCCAUAAGUCUGAUGUGAAAGCCUUCGGCUCAACCGGAGAAUUGCAUCAGAAACUGUUGAACUUGAGUCGCAGAAGAGGAGAGUGGAACUCCCUGUGUAGCGGUGGAAUGCGUCGAUAUAUGGCAAGAACACCUUCUUGGUCUAAAUGCGGCUCUCCUGGGUCUUGGCAACUNGAUCCCUGAAGGGUUCUUAAUUUAUGGGGGUUAUUGUAAACCGGGAAUUAAGAUUACCCCUGGGGGAGUCCCCUGGCCGCUAAAAC
rnacentral:rRNA from 1 species